rnacentral:rRNA from 1 species
ACGGCUCAGUAACACGUGGAUAACCUGCCCUUGGGUCCGGCAUAACCCCGGGAAACUGGGGAUAAUUCCGGAUAACGCACAUAUGCUGGAAUGCUUUAUGCGUAAAAUGGAUUCGUCUGCCCAAGGAUGGGUCUGCGGCCUAUCAGGUAGUAGUGGGUGUAAUGUACCUACUAGCCUACGACGGGUACGGGUUGUGAGAGCAAGAGCCCGGAGAUGGAUUCUGAGACAUGAAUCCAGGCCCUACGGGGCGCAGCAGGCGCGAAAACUUUACAAUGCGGGAAACCGUGAUAAGGGGACACCGAGUGCCAGCAUCCUAUGCUGGCUGUCCGGGUGUGUAAAAUACACCUGUUAGCAAGGGCCGGGCAAGACCGGUGCCAGCCACCGCGGUAACACCGGCGGCCCGAGUGGUGAUCGUGAUUAUUGGGUCUAAAGGGUCCGUAGCCGGUUUGGUCAGUCCUCCGGGAAAUCUGACAGCUUAACUGUUAGGCUUUCGGAGGAUACUGCCAGACUUGGAACCGGGAGAGGUAAGAGGUACUACAGGGGUAGGAGUGAAAUCUUGUAAUCCCUGUGGGACCACCUGUGGCGAAGGCGUCUUACCAGAACGGGUUCGACGGUGAGGGACGAAAGCUGGGGGCACGAACCGGAUUAGAUACCCGGGUAGUCCCAGCCGUAAACGAUGCUCGCUAGGUGUCAGGCAUGGCGCGACCGUGUCUGGUGCCGUAGGGAAGCCGUGAAGCGAGCCACCUGGGAAGUACGGCCGCAAGGCUGAAACUUAAAGGAAUUGGCGGGGGAGCAC